rnacentral:rRNA from 1 species
CAUGCCGUAAACGUUGGGCACUAGGUGUGGGGUCCAUUCCACGGAUUCCGUGCCGCAGCAAACGCAUUAAGUGCCCCGCCUGGGGNAUGCAACGCGAAGAACCUUACCAAGGCUUGACAUACACCGGAAAAGUGCAGAGAUGUGCUCCCCGUAAGGUCGGUGUACAGGUGG